AAUAAAGGAGUUUCUCCUCUCUUGAAGACACUCCAAAUUCAAGAGCUUUUCACUCUUAUCUGUCUUUCUCCUCCUUUAUUUAUUAAGAGUAUUUUAUAAGAGAGGUUAGUGUUGGGAAACACUUGUGUGAACCCUUUCUUUGGAGUGAUCUUGUGAGGUUAUUCUCUUGGGGUAUUUGGGACUAAUUAGAGUAUUUACUCUAAUUUUGUAGUCUCUUUUGUACUCUUGUUUGUAUAGUGGAAUUGCUUCUCUCCAUUUGUGGACGUAGGUCUCCUUGACCAAACUACGUUAAACUAAUUGGAGUAUUUACUCUAAUUUUGUACUCUUAGUGGUAUAGUGAAAUUGAUUCACUCCGCUUGUGGACGUAGGUAUCCUUGACCGAUCCACGUUAAAUUUGUGCAUUCUUUAUCUGCUUCAAUUACAAUUAUUAUCAACUUGUAUUGUAUUUUUUUAUUGUCAUUAUUAACAUUGUUUGGAUAAAUUUUUUAUUAUACGGGUUCCCGAUUCUAACAAAUUGGUAUUAGAGCCAGAUCUAACCGGGUUAAUUUAAAUAGCCAAAAUGACUCUAACAAUGACAUAUGUUGAGAAAUUUGACUGAAGUGCAAACUUCAGAAUAUGACAAUUAAAGAUGGAACGUAUCCUAAUUCAGGACGGCUUAGAUUUGGCACUAUAAGGAAAGGAGAAGAAGCCAGAAACAAUGACGGACGAGGAGUUUGCCGUCAUUGGCAAAAAGGCAAAAGCAGGUAUCAUUUUAAAUCUCUCAAAUGAGGUUUGCGUGAAGUUACUGCAGAAAGCUCAUCCAAAGGCAUAUGGGAAAAGCUAAAAACCCUGUAUAUGAAAAGGACACUAGAAAACAGGCUUUACCUAAAGCAAAAACUUUACACUUUUUGUAUGGAUGAAUGUACCUCUAUACCUACACAUAUUGAUACUUUUGAUUCUCUUCUUAUGGAUUUAAGUACCAUAGAUGCUGAAAUCAAAGAUGAAGAUCAAGUCGUAUUAUUACUUGUUUCUUGACCCCAGUCGUUUAAGCAUAUAAGAGAUACUAUACUUUAUGGAAAUGAUAAUAUCUCUUAUAAAUAUAUCAAAUCUAUUUUGAAAUCAAAAUAACAAAUAGAUAUAGAUAUUACUGGGGAAACUAGUGGGAACCAAGGGGAAGGCUUAUUUGUAAGAGGUAGAUCUAAUAAGAAAGAUUCAAGUAGUGGGAGACCUAAAUCAAGGUCAAAAUCCAGAUACAGAAACGUCAUGUGCAAAUACUGUCAUAAGAAAGGCCACAUUAUUUCUAAAUGCUUUAAGUUGAAAAAUAAAGAAAAGCAUACAUAAAAGAAAAAUGAACACAAAAUUACUAAUGUUGCCGAAGCAAGUGUAGCUGCUAAUGAGAUUGAUGGAACUACUUUUUUAGUAACUAAUAAUAGUUUCAAAUCUAACAAUGACUGGAUUUUAGAUUCGGGCUGUUCUUAUCAUAUGUGUCCCGAUCGGGAUUUAUUUACCACAUAUGAAUCUACUAGAGGUGGAGUUGUCUUGAUGGGCAACAAUACUACCUGCAAAGUUAUUGGAAAAGGCAUAAUCCGAAUCAAAAUGCAUGAUGGUGUGGUGAGAACUCUCACCGAUGUUAGACAUGUUCCCGACUUGAAGAAAAAUCUCAUCUCUUUGGGCACUGUAGAAUCUCUUGGGUGCAAGUACACAUGUGA
rnacentral:lncRNA from 1 species